UUGCGCCAGAGUUUUCAAGACUCUGUCUCAAAAAAAAAAAAAAAAAAAAAAAAAAAUCUAGCCUUCCUUAUUAAUAUCUGAACAAAUAAUUACAUACUUGCUUCUUUGCAAAUUUGGCAGCAACUAAACUUAAAAUUUUUUUUAAGCACAUUUGCUUUUGCAGUUAGCCUGGCCUCCAGAGCUCUUGGACUGCAGCACCCAUAAUGACGGCCAAAGCUGCUCCCACGGCAACUCCUCCUGCUGAAGCGAAGUCAGGCAGGACAAUAAGAUGAGCACGGUGGUGCAGGCCUGUAAUCUCAGCUCCUCAGGCAGGAGGAUCACUUGAUCCCCGGGAGUUUGAAGCUGGACUGCGCUGACUGCACCUGUGAAUACCACUGCUCAUCAGCCUAGGGGAAACAUUCUCGAGUGCGAGCUUGACGGCUUAGGUUGAUGUUUUUCAAAUUUUCCCAAUGAUGGGUAUUGUAAGGGACCAAAAUAAAAAAAAUGCCAAUGCCUAGUCCCCUCUCAUCUAGAAUAAUUCCACAGGUGAUGAUGGGGUCCAGGACUCUGAAUUUCGUCAAUUUUACCAAAUACUUCUUCCAGUGAGGCAAAUAUGGAAACCCUUGGAUCGCUUCUUCGUGAACGCAGAUCAGCGCAUACACCGGCUGUUUUUAUCAGGCGCUCACCCCUCAUCCAAUGGCGUGACUAGUUGUGGGUGGAGCCCGAAAUCUGGCUGCCUAGAGAAGGCUGAAGGUCCAGUUACAGCAUAACUAAUAUUUCCACAGAGCUCCAUACGUGCCAAGCACCGUGCUACAGCCUCCACAGCCCCUUCAUUUAAUCUUCCCGAUGGGCCUAUGAAAUAGGUGCUCCUGGCCGGCACCGUGGCUCAUGCCUCUAAUCCC
rnacentral:antisense_RNA from 1 species